rnacentral:rRNA from 1 species
UACAGAGACUGCAAGCGUUAUUCGGAUUCACUGGGCGUAAAGGGUGCGCAGGCGGCCAAGUGUGUGAGGCAUGAAAGCCCGGGGCUUAACCCCGGAAUUGCACCUCAAACUACAUGGCUAGAGCAUUGGAGAGGGUAGCAGAAUUCAUGGUGUAGCAGUGAAAUGCGUAGAUAUCAUGAGGAAUACCAGAGGCGAAGGCGGCUACCUGGACAAUUGCUGACGCUCAGGCACGAAAGCGUGGGGAGCAAAAGGG